GCAGGCAGCAGGUACGGUGGCCAUCCCAGCGUGAGCACAGUGCAGAAGGAUCACACCAGGUCUUGGCCCUCUGGAGAGAGUGUAGGAUCAGUGGUAAUACAAGCUGCUGAGAACUUUGGUUGGUAUUUGGUCAGCAUUACCACACCGCAGCAACUUACAGUGUGCUGUGCAGCGUAAGUCUGCUCUCCUCACUCUGGGGCAUUGAAAGGGGUGUGUGUCACUGUGUGUGUUCUGUUUAACCCACACAGGGGCGUGGAACAUAGAGCAGUAGGUGAGGAGACCCUCAACCCACCACAUAGCCAAGUAGCCUGCCCUGGGAAGAGCAAAGCGUAGGUGAGGGGAGGGAAGGGCACUGCAGUGAGUCACAUCCCCCACUGUCCUCAGUCAGCUGGUUUUCAUCGCACUGGAGCUGCCCCUUCGCUGUAGCUUCGUGAUGCCUGUCCUGAGUGAAGGCUAUAGCAUUUGACUGCAUCCAGGUGGCCAUUAGGAGUCUCAGCAGAGUGAGUGACAGAGGAACUUGCUGUUGACAAGCAGAUAAAGCAGAAGACUUUCUCCUUUAAGGCCCUUGUGUGUCUCUUAAGUGUUCAGUGUGCAGGGCUUGGGCGUGUAAUACCUGAGGUUUUGUUACACCUUCAAGUGUUUGUAAUAGGUGUAGAGCGAGAUCUGACAUGAUGCUUGCCAUGUUGACUGAAUAAAGAAAUGAAUUCUGUG
rnacentral:lncRNA from 14 species